rnacentral:rRNA from 1 species
AGUUUGAUCCUGGCUCAGAGCGAACGUUAGCGGCAGGCCUAACACAUGCAAGUCGCACGAGAAUUCGGUUUUUUUCGGCCGAUAGUAAAGUGGCGGACGGGUGCGUAACACGUGGAUAAUCUGCCCUCCGGCGGGGGAUAACUGUCCGAAAGGAUAGCUAAUACCGCAUUCGUCAGUCGGGUCUUCGGACCUGAUUGGGAAAGGUGGCCUCUUCAUGAAAGCUACCACCGGAGGAUGAGUCCGCGGGCCCAUCAGCUAGUUGGCGGGGUAAUGGCCCACCAAGGCGAAGACGGGUAGCUGGUCUGAGAGGAUGAUCAGCCACACUGGAACUGAGACACGGUCCAGACUCCUACGGGAGCAGCAGUGGGGAAUAUUGGGCAAUGGCGCAAGCCUGACCCAGCCAUGCCGCGUGAGUGAUGAAGGCCUUCGGGUCGUAAAGCUCUGUGGGGAGGGAAGAAAAACCUUGUGGCCAACAUCCACGAGGCUUGACGGUACCUCCUUAGCAAGCACCGGCUAACUCCGUGCCAGCAGCCGCGGUAA